rnacentral:rRNA from 1 species
CCUACGGGAGGCAGCAGUGAGGAAUAUUGGUCAAUGGACGCAAGUCUGAACGAGCCAUGCCGCGUGCGGGAAGACGGCUCUAUGAGUUGUAAACUGCUUUUGUACGAGGGUAAACUAAGAUAAGCGUAUCUGUCUGAAAGUAUCGUACGAAUAAGGAUCGGCUAACCCCGUGCCAGCAGACGCGGCAAGACGGAGGAUUCAAGCGUUGUCCGGAUUUAUUGGGUUUAAAGGGAGCGUAGGCGGUCGGAUAAGUUAGGGGUGAAAUCCCGAGGCUCAACUUCGGCAUGGCAUCUGAUACUGUUAGACUAGAGUGUAGUAGCGGGAAGCGGAAUGUAAGGUGUAGCAGUGAAAUGCGUAGAUAUCGUACAGAACACCGAUUGCGAAGGCAGCUUACCGGGCUACAUCUGACGCUGAGGCACGAAGGCGUGGGGAGCGAACGGGAUUAGAUACCCUAGUAGUC